rnacentral:rRNA from 1 species
AGUGAACGCUGGCGGCGUGCCUAAUACAUGCAAGUCGAACGGAAUUUAAAAGAGCUUGCUCUUUUGAAUUUAGUGGCGCACGGGUGAGUAAUAUAUAGCUAAUCUGCCCCUUGCUGGAGGACAACAGUUAGAAAUGACUGCUAAUACUCCAUACUCCUUUUUACCAUAAGAUAAAUCGGGAAAGAAUUUCGGCAAGGGAUGAGACUAUAUCGUAUCAGCUAGUCGGUGGGGUAACGGCCUACCGAGGCUAUGACGCGUAACUGGUCUGAGAGGAUGAUCAGUCACAUUGGAACUGAGACACGGUCCAAACUCCUACGGGAGGCAGCAGUAGGGAAUAUUGCGCAAUGGGGGAAACCCUGACGCAGCAACGCCGCGUGGAGGAUGACACUUUUCGGAGCGUAAACUCCCUUUUGUUAGGGAAGAAUAAUGACGGUACCUAACGAAUAAGCACCGGCUAA